GGUUAUAAAUACCCUCAAUUUUCAGGAGUACCUCUGUAAUUAAAAAAAAAAAAAUUAUUUCUAUAACUAAUUAACUAUUUUGUAGCAAGUAUUUCGAUUUACUUGUAAAAUUCCAAAUUCCCGGUCUUUGUUGUAUUCAUUUGUUGGUUUAAAAUUCUGUGAAAGACCUCCUGAUCAUUGUUUGUCCUCCUGGCCUGUCCGUAACGCUAAAUUCUGCGCACCGGUUCCUAUAUUUUUUUUAACCCCAGAGCAUUUCAUAUACAUAAAAAUAAAUUCAGUAUUUUGGAGUCGAGAGCGUUUUAAAAGUUUAUAGCUGUGAUUGCCGGAGAGAUGGCGGCUUCUUUUAACCAAACGAUUUUUUGCCCGGCAACAGUGAGUGCCAAACACACUAAUGCCUUACCCACUCUGCCAUUUCCUCUCCACUAUGUACAAAGAUGUACGCAUUUCACUUUUAUGUUAGUAUUGAGAGAAAAUCAAACAAAAUCAAAUUGUUUUUUUCUUUUGUUAGUAUUACAACUGGGGGAGGGGGAGGCUUCUGUACAAUAAUUAUGAAUCUUAUUAAUUUAGGUAAAUUUAAUGAAUAUUAUAUCCAUAAUAAUACAAAGUGAUUUGAAAAACUGUUUUCUAAGGUUUGCAGUACUAAACACUUACGGUUCAUCCACUGGUUCUCGAAGUAAUUAAUAUAUCGACGAGCUAUUUGUUCGUUUACCGCGUGACUUCUCUCUUCUUUGAUCAGGUUAAAACCCUCGGCUAUGUGCUCGACCGGUAAAAGGGCCAGAGCCUUCGACAUGCGGAACAUGUUAUGCAAUGCCAAGUCGUUACGAUAUUCACGUCGCCGCAUGCCAAACUCUUUACCUUUUUUCUAAAGUGCCUAAAAAUUACCAUAAACAUUUUAAAAUGGCAACACACGAUGCUAUAUUUUAUAGCACCGGAA